AGUGAACGCUGGCGGUAGGCCUAACACAUGCAAGUCGAACGGCAGCACAGUAAGAGCUUGCUCUUACGGGUGGCGAGUGGCGGACGGGUGAGGAAUACAUCGGAAUCUACUUUUUCGUGGGGGAUAACGUAGGGAAACUUACGCUAAUACCGCAUACGACCUACGGGUGAAAGCAGGGGAUCUUCGGACCUUGCGCGAUUGAAUGAGCCGAUGUCGGAUUAGCUAGUUGGCGGGGUAAAGGCCCACCAAGGCGACGAUCCGUAGCUGGUCUGAGAGGAUGAUCACCCACACUGGAACUGAGACACGGUCCAGACUCCUACGGGAGGCAGCAGUGGGGAAUAUUGGACAAUGGGCGAAAGCCUGACCCAGCAAUACCGCGUGGGUGAAGAAGGCCUUCGGGUUGUAAACCCUUUUUGUGGGGAAAGAAAACCAGCGGUUUAAACCCCGCUUGUUUUGACGGUACCAAAAAAAAAAGCCCCGGCUAACUUCGUG
rnacentral:rRNA from 1 species